rnacentral:rRNA from 1 species
GCAGUACGUGUGCAGUAACACAAUAAAAUACUUCGCUGGGGGAGUACGGUCGCAAAGACUGAAACUCAAAGGGAAUUGACGGGGACUCGCACAAAGCGGUGGAGCAUGCGGUUUAAUUCGAUGCAACGCGAAAAACCUUACCAGGUCUUGACAUACUGUUGUCAGGAUUAGAGAUAAUCCCUUUCUUCGGAACAACAGAUACAGGUGGUGCAUGGUUGUCGUCAGCUCGUGUCGUGAGAUGUUGGGUUAAGUCCCGCAACGAGCGCAACCCUUAUCAUUAGUUGCUAACAUUCAGUUGAGCACUCUAAUGAGACCGCCGGUGAUAAACCGGAUGAAGGUGGGGAUGACGUCAAAUCAUCAUGCCCCUUAUGACCUGGGCUACACGUGUGCUACAAUGGCUAGUACAAAGAGUCGCAAUGCCGUGAGAUGGAGCUAAUCUCAUAAAGCUAGUCUCAGUUCGGAUUGUAGUCUGCAACUCGACUACAUGAAGUAGGAAUCGCUAGUAAACGUAAAUCAGCAUGUUACGGUGAAUACGUUCUCGAGUCUUGUACACACCGCCCGUCACACCAUGAGAGUUUGUAAUACCCAAAGCCGGUGGCCUACCCGUAAGGAGGGAGCCGUUUAAGGUAGGACAAAUGAUGGGGUGAAGUCCCAACAAGAUAACCU